UAUUGCAAAAGGCAAACUUAUCGAAAGGUAAGGACGCAAAGCUCCAGGUCUAAGGUUGCACUCGCAACGAUGAUGGCUGUGCUGCCGAA
rnacentral:ncRNA from 1 species